rnacentral:rRNA from 1 species
UGGGGAAUAUUGGACAAUGGGCGCAAGCCUGAUCCAGCCAUGCCGCGUGGGUGAAGAAGGCCUUCGGGUUGUAAAGCCCUUUUGUUGGGAAAGAAAAGCAGUCGAUUAAUACUCGAUUGUUCUGACGGUACCCAAAGAAUAAGCACCGGCUAACUUCGUGCCAGCAGCCGCGGUAAUACGAAGGGUGCAAGCGUUACUCGGAAUUACUGGGCGUAAAGCGUGCGUAGGUGGUGAUUUAAGUCCGUUGUGAAAGCCCUGGGCUCAACCUGGGAAUUGCAGUGGA